AGUUGCCACUGUCUCAGUUUCAAGACCUACAUAUAUUAUUGUUCCUGAAUCUACUCCUGUGCCAUAUAUUUGGAACCCAAACAGACCUCCAAACCUGUCAAUAAAGUACUGCAGAUUGGAAAUGGUCAUGUGAACGGGGUUACACACAUAGUUUUACAGUAUGGUGUGGUAGGCAACCUUUGGAUAAUCAUAUCUUGAUCCACUGUUUUUCCCAGGUUGCCCAACCUACACAUGACCAAUAGGGGCAGAAGUUAGUCUCUAUUUGGGCAAUCAGGAUCAGUAGGUCUUUUACUGGGACAUAAGUAUUUAUCAUUAAACCCAUAAGUUCGUUCCCAUUUAAGAUUACCACAUACAUUCCAAAGUCUUCCACUACCCGAAAUCGCCUUACAUGCAUCAAAUAGUAGAAUACCCGUGGAAUGUAUGGUGCUUAUCACAGUCCUAUUUAUUAAUGUCCCCUGGGAGUUACUAUUCCGAAUUACCAACCAAAUUGUACGGGGUUGGAAAUGGGGAUCAAAACAUUUAGACUCUCCUGAUAUUGGCUUGCACACACUAUAAUCAAUAUCCAAAUAUCUACAUUUAGAUACAGAUCCCUUACAUUCAUACUGUGAGUGCCAG